rnacentral:rRNA from 1 species
AUAUCAAUAAGCGGAGGAAAAGAAACCAACAGGGAUUGCCCUAGUAACGGCGAGUGAAGCGGCAACAGCUCAAAUUUGAAAGCUAGCCUUCGGGUUCGCAUUGUAAUUUGUAGAGGAUGCUUUGGGUGAAACGCCAGUCUAAGUUCCUUGGAACAGGACGUCAUAGAGGGUGAGAAUCCCGUAUGUGACUGGAAAUGUUAACCUAUGUAAAGCUCCUUCGACGAGUCGAGUUGUUUGGGAAUGCAGCUCUAAAUGGGAGGUAAAUUUCUUCUAAAGCUAAAUAUUGGCGAGAGACCGAUAGCGCACAAGUAGAGUGAUCGAAAGAUGAAAAGCACUUUGGAAAGAGAGUUAAAAAGCACGUGAAAUUGUUGAAAGGGAAGCGCUUGCAAUCAGACUUGUUUAAACUGUUCGGCCGGUCUUCUGACCGGUUUACUCAGUUUGGACAGGCCAGCAUCAGUUUCGGCGGCCGGAUAAAGGCAUUGGGAAUGUGGCCUCCACUUCGGUGGAGGUGUUAUAGCCCAGUGUGUAAUACGGCCAGCCGGGACUGAGGUCCGCGCUUCGGCUAGGAUGCUGGCGUAAUGGUUGUAAGCGAC